AAAAUAAAAUUUGGCUUUUAUUGAUCAAUGAAUAUGGCCUAGGAAAAUUUAAUUUCCUUCUGUAGAACUGAACAAGAAAUCGGCACAAAACUAUGGGAGAUAUGAUAGAGUCGUUAGAAGAAAGGGGUAACUUCAUACUGGGGAAGAGGCACCACGAACUUCCACGCCACGGAACGUGGCCUACCUGAGAGCAAAGGUGCCUGACAGACUGCACACCCAAAACGCAGCAGUGUUUGGCACUCAAUGGGUCCCCUUAGGAGCUUUUUAAAUAAUGUCACAGGGCAUGUGAAGGCAAAACAAAGAACAAGGUGACUGAAGACGCAAGAAAAUGCAGCCAAUAAAAAUAUUUAAACCUCUUUUAUUGAGUAUGAAAAAAGAAAACUGAAGAAUGGCUUUAUGGCACAUUAUUAGCAGAAGAAUAGUGCUUAGGAGAUUUCCAAAGUCUGUAACUCAAGGGGAGGGGCAGAAGGGUCAGGGAUAGAGUUCUCAUGGGGCAAAUGAAGUAGCCGUCCUGAAUCCAAGUGGGGGAGGAAGAAGAGGCUGCAGGCUGGCGAGGGAGCACGCCAUGGCGAUCCUCAAGUCACGCUGGGAUCUUGGACCAUUUCCCAGCCCCUGCCGCCAUCUCCAAGGAACAGGAUUCUCAACUGCUUGAGAACUUGGAGACAAUCAUUGCUCUGAGCUAGAUUUAAUCAGACUAUUUUUUUUUUUUUGCAGCCUGCCACUGCAGGAAAAAGUCUUCAGCUGAUAUAUCGUAAGAAUUUUGGAAUAACAAGUAAGAAAUCGCCUUCAGAUAGCACUUUAAGCUUUACAAAGCAGUUUCUUCACCACAACCUUGUGAGGUAGUGAGGACAAAAAAUAUUUAUGUGACUUGCCCAUUAUCACACAGUCAUUUGAGAGCCCGAGUUCAAGGUUCUUUCCCUUCUGUGCUACGAGGAAUAUUGGCUGAAGAACUAAGUCACCAUAUGACAGUUAUAUAAUUCAUGAAUCAGGCCUGGGAAGCAAAAGGUGUUCAGUGCAUUCUUUCCCAUUGGAUUCUCUAUUUUCCACUAAAGUGACCUGAGGACUAACCCCCGCACAAGAACACGGUGUGGGCCGUGGAGCUGAAGCCAUCUUUUGAGAUGACGGUUUAAGAAGUAAGCUCGGUAGAGCCAGGAAAAUCACAGAAAAAGACCUGAGUGAUUCGGCUGCAUCAUCUCCCCCUUGUUCUGCUAUAAGGGAUGGAUCUCAGGGUGAGGGAACAGGAAAGGAAGCUGAUGCUGAGAAUAUGAGAAAGUUUUCUUAAAAACUGACAUGCCUGGAGGCUUUGGGCUGCGCGAGUGAGCCUCCUCACGCCUCUUCCCGUGCUCUAACCAUCACUAGGUAUACACUGUGACGGACUGGCCGUCUCUCUCAGGAGGCACCUCUUCCAGGAAGGCAGGUCCCAACACACCCAUGUACAUGCUGUGUAAUCUUCAUCUCUGCAUUCCUGCACAUCUGUCCCGACGUGCUGAGAGACUUCUUCUAUCUUGACACUAUGUGGGUAGCAAUGGAAUACAGUGGCCAGGCCCUGAGCCCUCCAGUCAAGCAUUUCUCCGAAUUCUUCAUUCGUCCAUGAGCCUUAAUGCUGCCCUUUGGGUGAUCCUCUCUUACAGUCCUUUGGAGAGUGUGAUAUCUCAUGAAUCGCAGCCAUACAUCAUUUACUGGAAGAAUACCGGGGUUAAAAUAUGGGCCUUUGUUUCAGGAAGAAGUUGGAGGUCAAUAAAAGCACUAUACAAUUUCCUAAAGUCAAGUUGGCCCACUCUCUCCCUCAGUUCUAUCCUGGGCCCAACUCAUUGUUCAUAUACAUUAUCUGUCCAAGAUAGAGGUAGUGAUGGACUCUAUAGAGGGCCUAGCCAACUGCCUGUUAUCUACCACACAGCAGCAGGCAUGCUUCAUCACUUGGCUUUCCUGUAUGAAGAGUUAGGCUGAAUUCUUUUGAGUGAUUACGAUCUCGCCUAAGAUCUUCUGGGCCAAAUUUCUGCAAUCAGCUUGAAGCCAUCCAUAAGAAGAUGCAUCUGGAGAGCCUCACCCUCUUUAAUUUAGUCUGACCACGGUGACUCCUCUGCACCAGCGGCUAGCUACCACCUUUAGGACAAAAUACAAAGACUUUUCCAUUGGACUUUUCAAGCUGCACGGAGGUGCUGGGCUGCUUCUAUCCUCUAUUCCUCCUCAGGCUCUCUGGCCGAACCGGCCUCCUUGCUCUUCUCCAGACACGGCCUUCACACAAGUAAGGCACGGAGCCCUGGAGUCAGGGCUCUGCCUUCUGAGCUUAGGGGACAGCUGAAGGGCCACUUUCAUCACCCUGAUUCCCUCCAUCAUGAGUGUUUUUACUCACCUGUAUACAAGUAGUUUUCCUUCAGUGAAAUACGAGUUCUUUAAGUAGAUAUACCACCAGCACCUAAGCACAGUGCCUGGUAAAUAGUAACCACUUAAUAAAUGCUUGUGAUUGA